rnacentral:tRNA from 1 species
CGUGUAUGUAAUUUAAAAAAAAUACCAAGCUGUGACCUUGACAAUAGG